rnacentral:rRNA from 1 species
GACGAACGCUGGCGGCGUGCUUAACACAUGCAAGUCGAACGGAAAGGCCCUGCUUUUGUGGGGUGCUCGAGUGGCGAACGGGUGAGUAACACGUGAGUAACCUGCCCUUGACUUUGGGAUAACUUCAGGAAACUGGGGCUAAUACAGGAUAGGAGCUCCUGCUGCAUGGUGGGGGUUGGAAAGUUUCGGCGGUUGGGGAUGGACUCGGGGCUUAUCAGCUUGUUGGUGGGGUAGUGGCUUACCAAGGCUUUGACGGGUAGCCGGCCUGAGAGGGUGACCGGCCACAUUGGGACUGAGAUACGGCCCAGACUCCUACGGGAGGCAGCAGUGGGGAAUAUUGCACAAUGGGCGGAAGCCUGAUGCAGCAACGCCGCGUGCGGGAUGACGGCCUUCGGGUUGUAAACCGCUUUCGCCUGUGACGAAGCGUGAGUGACGGUAAUGGGUAAAGAAGCACCGGCUAACUACGUG